GGGCGAGGGAAAGGUGUCCACUGGAAACAGAGGCUUUCAACAGCUGAUCACUGCUGGGAACCAUAAAAGAAAACCAAGACCUCCAAAGAUCCGAAUACAGUGAUAUUCAGCAAAAUGUCAUGCAAGAGAAUCUCAGUUCUGACAAGCCCUAACGACACACCAGAGGAUCGUUUGGCAGUUGUGUCAGAUGAUCUUUGAAGCCCCCAUGCUGAAGUCUGCAAUGUAUGUAUAUUACUUCUUCCAUGGACUAAUGAUCUACUACUACCAGAGCUGUGGAGUGUGACAAUGGUGUUUGUGUCCAGUCUAUCAAACGCCAUUAUCACACUAAAUAGCUACUGGUAGACAAGACAUCAAUUCAGAAAAGUAUGUGAACUGUAGCAAUACGUCUUCCCACCGUACUGAGGAAUAAAUAACCUUUUAACAUGUA